UGAUUGGUGAUACCGAGUUCUAUAUAACCUUU
rnacentral:piRNA from 1 species